UUAAGCGACUAAGCGUACACGGUGGAUGCCCUGGCAGUCAGAGGCGAUGAAGGACGUGCUAAUCUGCGAUAAGCGUCGGUAAGGUGAUAUGAACCGUUAUAACCGGCGAUUUCCGAAUGGGGAAACCCAGUGUGUUUCGACACACUAUCAUUAACUGAAUCCAUAGGUUAAUGAGGCGAACCGGGGGAACUGAAACAUCUAAGUACCCGAGGAAAAGAAAUCAACCGAGAUUCCCCCAGUAGCGGCGAGCGAACGGGGAGGAGCCAGAGCCUGAAUCAGUGUGUGUGUUAGUGGAAGCGUCUGGAAAGGCGCGCGAUACAGGGUGACAGCCCGUACACAAAAAUGCACAUGCUGUGAGCUCGAUGAGUAGGGCGGGACACGUGGUAUCCUGUCUGAAUAUGGGGGGACCAUCCUCCAAGGCUAAAUACUCCUGACUGACCGAUAGUGAACCAGUACCGUGAGGGAAAGGCGAAAAGAACCCCGGCGAGGGGAGUGAAAAAGAACCUGAAACCGUGUACGUACAAGCAGUGGGAGCCUCUUUAUGGGUGACUGCGUACCUUUUGUAUAAUGGGUCAGCGACUUAUAUUCUGUAGCAAGGUUAACCGAAUAGGGGAGCCGAAGGGAAACCGAGUCUUAACUGGGCGUUAAGUUGCAGGGUAUAGACCCGAAACCCGGUGAUCUAGCCAUGGGCAGGUUGAAGGUUGGGUAACACUAACUGGAGGACCGAACCGACUAAUGUUGAAAAAUUAGCGGAUGACUUGUGGCUGGGGGUGAAAGGCCAAUCAAACCGGGAGAUAGCUGGUUCUCCCCGAAAGCUAUUUAGGUAGCGCCUCGUGAAUUCAUCUCCGGGGGUAGAGCACUGUUUCGGCAAGGGGUCAUCCCGACUUACCAACCCGAUGCAAACUGCGAAUACCGGAGAAUGUUAUCACGGGAGACACACGGCGGGUGCUAACGUCCGUCGUGAAGAGGGAAACAACCCAGACCGCCAGCUAAGGUCCCAAAGUCAUGGUUAAGUGGGAAACGAUGUGGGAAGGCCCAGACAGCCAGGAUGUUGGCUUAGAAGCAGCCAUCAUUUAAAGAAAGCGUAAUAGCUCACUGGUCGAGUCGGCCUGCGCGGAAGAUGUAACGGGGCUAAACCAUGCACCGAAGCUGCGGCAGCGACGCUUAUGCGUUGUUGGGUAGGGGAGCGUUCUGUAAGCCUGUGAAGGUGUGCUGUGAGGCAUGCUGGAGGUAUCAGAAGUGCGAAUGCUGACAUAAGUAACGAUAAAGCGGGUGAAAAGCCCGCUCGCCGGAAGACCAAGGGUUCCUGUCCAACGUUAAUCGGGGCAGGGUGAGUCGACCCCUAAGGCGAGGCCGAAAGGCGUAGUCGAUGGGAAACAGGUUAAUAUUCCUGUACUUGGUGUUACUGCGAAGGGGGGACGGAGAAGGCUAUGUUGGCCGGGCGACGGUUGUCCCGGUUUAAGCGUGUAGGCUGGUUUUCCAGGCAAAUCCGGAAAAUCAAGGCUGAGGCGUGAUGACGAGGCACUACGGUGCUGAAGCAACAAAUGCCCUGCUUCCAGGAAAAGCCUCUAAGCAUCAGGUAACAUCAAAUCGUACCCCAAACCGACACAGGUGGUCAGGUAGAGAAUACCAAGGCGCUUGAGAGAACUCGGGUGAAGGAACUAGGCAAAAUGGUGCCGUAACUUCGGGAGAAGGCACGCUGAUAUGUAGGUGAAGCGACUUGCUCGUGGAGCUGAAAUCAGUCGAAGAUACCAGCUGGCUGCAACUGUUUAUUAAAAACACAGCACUGUGCAAACACGAAAGUGGACGUAUACGGUGUGACGCCUGCCCGGUGCCGGAAGGUUAAUUGAUGGGGUCAGCGCAAGCGAAGCUCUUGAUCGAAGCCCCGGUAAACGGCGGCCGUAACUAUAACGGUCCUAAGGUAGCGAAAUUCCUUGUCGGGUAAGUUCCGACCUGCACGAAUGGCGUAAUGAUGGCCAGGCUGUCUCCACCCGAGACUCAGUGAAAUUGAACUCGCUGUGAAGAUGCAGUGUACCCGCGGCAAGACGGAAAGACCCCGUGAACCUUUACUAUAGCUUGACACUGAACAUUGAGCCUUGAUGUGUAGGAUAGGUGGGAGGCUUAGAAGUGUGGACGCCAGUCUGCAUGGAGCCGACCUUGAAAUACCACCCUUUAAUGUUUGAUGUUCUAACGUUGACCCGUAAUCCGGGUUGCGGACAGUGUCUGGUGGGUAGUUUGACUGGGGCGGUCUCCUCCUAAAGAGUAACGGAGGAGCACGAAGGUUGGCUAAUCCUGGUCGGACAUCAGGAGGUUAGUGCAAUGGCAUAAGCCAGCUUGACUGCGAGCGUGACGGCGCGAGCAGGUGCGAAAGCAGGUCAUAGUGAUCCGGUGGUUCUGAAUGGAAGGGCCAUCGCUCAACGGAUAAAAGGUACUCCGGGGAUAACAGGCUGAUACCGCCCAAGAGUUCAUAUCGACGGCGGUGUUUGGCACCUCGAUGUCGGCUCAUCACAUCCUGGGGCUGAAGUAGGUCCCAAGGGUAUGGCUGUUCGCCAUUUAAAGUGGUACGCGAGCUGGGUUUAGAACGUCGUGAGACAGUUCGGUCCCUAUCUGCCGUGGGCGCUGGAGAACUGAGGGGGGCUGCUCCUAGUACGAGAGGACCGGAGUGGACGCAUCACUGGUGUUCGGGUUGUCAUGCCAAUGGCACUGCCCGGUAGCUAAAUGCGGAAGAGAUAAGUGCUGAAAGCAUCUAAGCACGAAACUUGCCCCGAGAUGAGUUCUCCCUGACCCUUUAAGGGUCCUGAAGGAACGUUGAAGACGACGACGUUGAUAGGCCGGGUGUGUAAGCGCAGCGAUGCGUUGAGCUAACCGGUACUAAUGAACCGUGAGGCUUAACCUU
rnacentral:rRNA from 1 species